rnacentral:rRNA from 1 species
GAGUUUUGAUCCUGGCUCAGGACGAACGCUGGCGGCACGCUUAACACAUGCAAGUCGAACGAGAGAAGAGGAGCUUGCUUUUCUGAUCUAGUGGCGGACGGGUGAGUAACACGUGAGCAAUCUGCCUUUCAGAGGGGGAUACCGAUUGGAAACGAUCGUUAAUACCGCAUAACAUAAUUGAACCGCAUGAUUUGAUUAUCAAAGAUUUAUCGCUGAAAGAUGAGCUCGCGUCUGAUUAGCUAGUUGGUAAGGUAACGGCUUACCAAGGCGACGAUCAGUAGCCGGACUGAGAGGUUGAUCGGCCACAUUGGGACUGAGACACGGCCCAGACUCCUACGGGAGGCAGCAGUGGGGAAUAUUGCACAAUGGAGGAAACUCUGAUGCAGCGAUGCCGCGUGAGGGAAGAAGGUUUUAGGAUUGUAAACCUCUGUCUUCAGGGACGAAAAAAGACGGUACCUGAGGAGGAAGCUCCGGCUAACUACGUGCCAGCAGCCGCGGUAAUACGUAGGGAGCGAGCGUUGUCCGGAAUUACUGGGUGUAAAGGGAGCGUAGGCGGGAUCGCAAGUCAGAUGUGAAAACUAUGGGCUUAACCCACAAACUGCAUUUGAAACUGUGGUUCUUGAGUGAAGUAGAGGUAAGCGGAAUUCCUAGUGUAGCGGUGAAAUGCGUAGAUAUUAGGAGGAACAUCAGUGGCGAAGGCGGCUUACUGGGCUUUAACUGACGCUGAGGCUCGAAAGCGUGGGGAGCAAACAGGAUUAGAUACCCUGGUAGUCCACGCCGUAAACGAUGAUUACUAGGUGUGGGGGGACUGACCCCUUCCGUGCCGCAGCAAACGCAAUAAGUAAUCCACCUGGGGAGUACGACCGCAAGGUUGAAACUCAAAGGAAUUGACGGGGGCCCGCACAAGCAGUGGAGUAUGUGGAUUAAUUCGAAGCAACGCGAAGAACCUUACCAGGUCUUGACAUCGUAUGCAUAGCUCAGAGAUGAGUGAAAUCUCUUCGGAGACAUAUAGACAGGUGGUGCAUGGUUGUCGUCAGCUCGUGUCGUGAGAUGUUGGGUUAAGUCCCGCAACGAGCGCAACCCUUACUGUUAGUUGCUACGCAAGAGCACUCUAGCAGGACUGCCGUUGACAAAACGGAGGAAGGUGGGGAUGACGUCAAAUCAUCAUGCCCCUUAUGACCUGGGCCUCACACGUACUACAAUGGCUGUCAACAGAGGGAAGCAAAGCCGCGAGGUGGAGCGAACCCCUAAAAGCAGUCUUAGUUCGGAUUGUAGGCUGCAACCCGCCUACAUGAAGUCGGAAUUGCUAGUAAUCGCAGAUCAGCAUGCUGCGGUGAAUACGUUCCCGGGCCUUGUACACACCGCCCGUCACGCCAUGGGAGUCGGUAACACCCGAAGCCUGUAGUCUAACCGCAAGGAGGACGCAGUCGAAGGUGGGAUUGAUGACUGGGGUGAAGUCGUAACAAGGUA